ACAUCGAUGGUGAAACGGUAUCAUGCUUGCCUUCCACUUCUGUGAGCAAGCGGCACGGGUUCGACUCCCGUUCGAUGUA
rnacentral:tRNA from 1 species